rnacentral:lncRNA from 1 species
GCCUCGACACUUGAUUGUAGUACAAAGAUUGUACAUAGUACUCCUAUAUACCAGAAGAAGAUUUUGUUUUGCAACAUUUGACACUUCUUUCCAAUUGCAGUUGGCACAGAUAAAUACCCCAAAAAUCCAAGACAAGACCGUAAAUUACACCUCCACUUAAUUGCACAUAUGGUGUGUGUAGUGUACAUACAAGCAUACAGAAGCACAUCUUAUACCCUACAACAACAACAACAACAACAAAGCCUUUAGUCCGAAACAAGUUGGGGUAGGCUAGAGGUGAAACCCAUAAGAUCUCGCAACCAACUCAUGGCUCUGGCACAUGGAUAGCAAGCUUCCACGCACCCCUGUCCAUAGCUAGCUCUUUGUCGAUACUCCAAUCCUUCAGGUCUCUCUUAACGGACUCCUCCCAUGUCAAAAUCGGUCGACUCCGCCCUCUCUUGACAUUCUCCGCACGCUUUAGCCGUCCGCUAUGCACUGGAGCUUCUGGAGGCCUGCGCUGAAUAUGCCCAAACCAUCUCAAACGAUGUUGGACAAGCUUCUCCUCAAUUGGUGCUACCCCAACUCUAUCUCGUAUAUCAUCAUUCCGGACUCGAUCCUUCCUCGUGUGGCCACACAUCCAUCUCAACAUACGCAUCUUCGCCACACCUAACUGUUGAACAUGUCAUCUUUUAGUCGGCCAACACUCCGCGCCAUACAUCUUAUACCCUAGCUAUGAAUUUAAUCUCGCUUCCGGCCGCUGCAAAAGAGAAAACUGCACAGAUCCUUGGCUGUACGUACUAGACCUUGGCGCCAGAAUCACAUGAACCCACUAAAUUUCCCCUCUCUCUUUUCAAUAACAUGUAUACAAUAAAUUGAAGAAGAAGAAAAGCCAUGAAAGCGCCACGAGACCGGGCCAUGCACCCACGAGAUGCAUGUCCGCAUGGGCUAGCUAGUGCUUUUCAUCUCCAGCUAGCCAACCAGUACUCCGGCCGGCAGCGCAAUGAAUGGAAUCUGGAUCCAUGGACGGGUCUCUCUCAG